rnacentral:rRNA from 1 species
GGGGAAUUUUCCGCAAUGGGCGAAAGCCUGACGGANCAAUACCGCGUGAGGGAUGAAGGCCUAUGGGUUGUAAACCUCUUUUUUCAGGGAGGAAUCAAUGACGUGUACUUGAAGAAUAAGCAUCGGCUAACUCCGUGCCAGCAGCCGCGGUAAGACGGAGGAUGCAAGUGUUAUCCGGAAUCACUGGGCGUAAAGCGUCUGUAGGUGGUCAAAUAAGUCAACUGUUAAAUCUUGAGGCUCAACCUCAAAAUCGCAGUCGAAACUAUUAGACUAGAGUAUAGUAGGGGUAAAGGGAAUUUCCAGUGGAGCGGUGAAAUGCGUAGAUAUUGGAAGGAACACCGAUGGCGAAGGCACUUUACUGGGCUAUUACUAACACUCAGAGACGAAAGCUAGGGUAGCAAAUGGGAUUAGAUACCCCAGUAGUC